GAUGAACGCUGGCGGCGUGCUUAACACAUGCAAGUCGAACGGUGAAGCAGGAGCUUGCUCCUGUGGAUCAGUGGCGAACGGGUGAGUAACACGUGAGCAAUCUGCCCUGGACUCUGGGAUAAGCGUUGGAAACGACGUCUAAUACCGGAUACGAGGCAUGGGGGCAUCCCCAACGCCUGGAAAGAACUUCGGUCCAGGAUGAGCUCGCGGCCUAUCAGGUAGUUGGUGAGGUAACGGCUCACCAAGCCUACGACGGGUAGCCGGCCUGAGAGGGUGACCGGCCACACUGGGACUGAGACACGGCCCAGACUCCUACGGGAGGCAGCAGUGGGGAAUAUUGCACAAUGGGCGCAAGCCUGAUGCAGCAACGCCGCGUGAGGGACGACGGCCUUCGGGUUGUAAACCUCUUUUAGCAGGGAAGAAGCGAAAGUGACGGUACCUGCAGAAAAAGCACCGGCUAACUACGUGCCAGCCGCCGCAGUAACAC
rnacentral:rRNA from 1 species